CUUAAGCUAAUCUUGCGUUAGGUGAACAUGCUGGAAAGCAUGGCAAUAAAGGGUGAUAGCCCCGUAACCAACAGCGCAUUAUUAGUGAAAUCGAGUAGGACGGGACACGUGUUAUCCUGUCUGAAUAUGGGGGGCCAUCCUCCAAGGCUAAAUACUCCUGACUGACCGAUAGUGAACCAGUACCGUGAGGGAAAGGCGAAAAGUA
rnacentral:rRNA from 1 species